rnacentral:rRNA from 1 species
AUUGAACGCUGGCGGCAGGCCUAACACAUGCAAGUCGAACGAGUGGCGGACUGGUGAGUACUGUCUGGGCACCUGCCCAAUCUCGGGGGCUAACUCCUGGAAACCGUAGCUAAUACUGCAUACUAUCGGCUCUGCCCAGACGGGAUUAGCUAGUCGGUGGGGUAACGGCUCACCUAGGCGAAGAUCCGUAGCUGGUCUGAGAGGAGUACCAGCAACACUGGAACUGAGACACGGACCAGACGCCUACGGGAGGCAGCAGUGGGGAAGAUUGCACAAUGGGGGAAAGCCUGAUGCAGCCAUGCCGCGUGUAUGAAGAAGGCCUUCGGGUUGUAAAGUACUUUCGGCGAGGAAGCGUUACUGGAAGAAGAAGCAUCGGCUAACUCCGUGCCAGCAGCCGCGGUAAUAC